GUAUUUAGCUGCAUCUUCUGAAGGAGAUUGAGAUGCCUCCAUCGAAGAAAGCAGCACCAGCUCGUGCGAUG
rnacentral:rRNA from 1 species